rnacentral:rRNA from 1 species
GAUGAACGCUGGCGGCGUGCCUAAUACAUGCAAGUCGAGCGAACGGACUUGAAUCUUUCUUCUCUUAUGUUAUCGGCUGACGUGUGAUUAACACGUGUAUAACCUACCUAUUAUUCUUGUAUAACUUCGGGAAACCGUAUCUAAUACCGGAUAAUAUUUUGAACCUCAUUGUUCAAUAGUGUAUUACGGUCUUUCUUUCUCUUAUAGAUGGUUCCGCGCUGCAUUAGCUAGUUGGUAAGGUAACGGCUUACCAAGGCAACGAUGCAUAGCCGACCUGAGAGGGUGAUCGGCGACACUGGAACUGAGACACGGACCAGAGGACUACGGGAGGCAGAAGUAGGGAAUGUAGCGCAAUGGGCGAAAGCAGGACGGAGAAAAGCCGCGUGAGGGAUGAAGGUGUUAGGAUCGUAAAAAAAUGUUAUUAGGGAAGAAAAAAUGUGUAAGGAAAUGAGCACAUAGUGACGGUAACUAAUAAGAAAGCAACGGCUAACUACGUG